UACGUAGGGUGCAAGCGUUGUCCGGAAUUAUUGGGCGUAAAGAGCGUGUAGGCGGCUCGAUAAGUCUGCUGUGAAAGUCCAGGGCUCAACCCUGGAAGGCCGGUGGAAACUGUCGGGCUAGAGUCCGGAAGAGGCGAGUGGAAUUCCCGGUGUAGCGGUGAAAUGCGCAGAUAUCGGGAGGAACACCAAUGGCGAAGGCAGCUCGCUGGGACGGUACUGACGCUGAGACGCGAAAGCGUGGGGAGCAAACAGG
rnacentral:rRNA from 1 species